rnacentral:rRNA from 1 species
GACGAACGCUGGCGGCGUGCUUAACACAUGCAAGUCGAACGGAAAGGCCCUGCUUUUGUGGGGUGCUCGAGUGGCGAACGGGUGAGUAACACGUGAGUAACCUGCCCUUGACUUUGGGAUAACUUCAGGAAACUGGGGCUAAUACCGGAUAGGAGCUCCUGCUGCAUGGUGGGGGUUGGAAAGUUUCGGCGGUUGGGGAUGGACUCGCGGCUUAUCAGCUUGUUGGUGGGGUAGUGGCUUACCAAGGCUUUGACGGGUAGCCGGCCUGAGAGGGUGACCGGCCACAUUGGGACUGAGAUACGGCCCAGACUCCUACGGGAGGCAGCAGUGGGGAAUAUUGCACAAUGGGCGGAAGCCGGAUGCAGCAACGCCGCGUGCGGGAUGACGGCCUUCGGGUUGUAAACCGCUUUCGCCUGUGACGAAGCGUGAGGGACGGUAAUGGGUAAAGAAGCACCGGCGAACUACG